GCAGUGGUGGUCUAGUGGUAGAAUUCUCACCUCCUAUGAGGGGGACCUGGGCUUGAUUCCCAGCCAAUGCA
rnacentral:tRNA from 1 species